GGUGCAUUUUCUUUAAAAAUUAAAAAUUCUGUCUAAAAACCACAGUAAUGCGCCACCUUCAGCUGAAAACAUAGAAUUUGAGUCAUUUUGAAUAAAUUUUAGCCAAUGGCUAAAGAGUAAAGUACUACGUAAACCAGUAGAGUACUACGUAGCAGCUCCGUGCCAAAGUUAUAAAAGCAACGAGCGUCUCGGCCACGCCCUGUGGCGAGUGGGAGUUGGAUUUGCAAGCGAGCGUAGGAGGUCAGCGGUAGUUCAGCAUUAGCAUAUAGCAUUAGCAUAUCCUAGUCUUUAGCAUAUCUUUUAGUGUUAUAAAUACUUAUUUAGUGUUAGAUUUGGCUGUUGGAUAUUGUAGUUUAGUUAGUGUUUGGCUGUUAGUGUAAUUGGGAAAGUAGUUCGGGUUUAGUGCUCCAUAUCGUGUUAGUAUUGGUGAGUAGGUGUAGUGUAGUAUGGUUGCGGUGACUCUGUGGGCAUUUUACCCGCGAUUCUGCACGUCUCCGUUUGAAGAGGGAGGCUGCCCACCAUGGCUCUUCCGCGAUUUAGAUGCAGCCCACCGACUCUGCUCCCCCACCACGGCGGGCUCCAGUCUGAGGCUAAAUCUACCCAAGACACUGGCUGUCAGACUGAUUUAGCUGCAAGAAUGCACUUGUCCAGGCAGACGUGAAGCCUUACCUGUAGCAAAGGUGAAUUAUUUUUAAUAAUCUUCUAUGUAAACAUUUUAUUAUUACCUUCUAGUUUUAAUUUGUUUUACAGAUUAUUGUUACACGUGAUUUUAUGCUCUUUUAAACAUUUAUAAAUGUGCUGCUUCUUUGUUUUUACAUAGCCAGCCAGAAUGGAGUUCACAGCCGCAGUUUGUCUGGUGACCCACGGGGACCAUGAUGAAAAUUCAUCUUCCAGAAGGUCCCAGAGCAGCGGCCGCACCCCCUGAAAAGACCAAGGUGUGAGGUGUCUGCUGUUGAUUCCAGCUUCCACCUCAGUGACAGUGCAAGCUCAGUGAACUGUUCAAGCCUGGCUGAUCACCUGAUAACUCCUGUCAUCUGGUUAUGACAGCAUGAGGAUGUCCUCACACCUGUAACCUAUCAGCUCAUCUGGCAGAAUAGAGAGAGAAGAGACAACACCACAUCUCCUGUUCCUGGAAAGCCUUCAGCCAUCCUUCGAUGACUGAGAACCUCCAUCAGCUCUGUCUCCUGUCUGCCUACAAUUAUUAUAAUAAAUAUUGUGUUUGACAAGUUUUUUUGUGCUGCCAAAUAUCUCAUAUAGAUUCCAGUUUUGAUAUUUUAAUGGAUAUUUAUAAAUUACAUUAAUUGAAUUAUCACAUUGCAUGUUUAACUAGCUCUAUUGUGAUGAAUUAAACUAGCACCUCACUGUUAAAAGCUCGUUUUAAUUUCAAGCAUGUUUAAGUAUUUAUGGACAUGAAAAAAACAGGAAAUAUAUAAAUUGAGAUUUAUUUAAUUAAUAUAACAAAUAAGGGGGAAAGAGUCAUUGAAAGGCACAUUCUUCUGGAAGCUCCUGUUCCUGACGACACCAGCAGAGGAGACCAGCUGCAGACACCAGAGACCAGCUGCAGACACCAGAGGACCUAGAACCAAGAGAGCAGCUGUUAUUAGUAAAUAAAUAAAUCAGGGCAGUUUUAGUGAGCUGAACACAUUACAGAAUAAUUUUCUCAUGGGGUAUUUUUAUAACUUUAUGCAGCAGACUAACUUGAGCCCAGGGCUACCGGAGAGCUGCUAUCCAGCACGUUUCAGUGGAUUUUCCUGCUUUAACAGGUUAGAUUAACUGUUAAGCAGCUCAGCUAUUUGUUGCUGAUUAAAACCAGGUGUGCUGAAGCAGAUAAACCUCUAAAACAUGCUGAAUACUAGCUCUCCAGGGCCGUGGAGACAAACCCUGCAGCUAAUCUGAUGCUAUGGCUAAUGGCUACUUACAUUCAGAGGUGGUUCUGUUGGGUCGGUUCUGGGAGUUACAGGCAACUCACAAGCUCACAACAAUAAAUGGUAAAUGGUAAAUGGCCUGUAUUUGAUAUAGCUCCUUCUAGAGUCCUGGAACCCCCCAAGGCGCUUUACAACACAAUCAGUCAUUCACCCAUUCACACACACAUUCACACACUGGUGGGGAUGAGCUACGAUGUAGCCACAGCUGCCCUGGGGCGCACUGACAGAGGUGAGGCUGCCGAGCACUGGCGCCACCGGUACCUCCGACCACCACCAGCAGGCAACGUGGGUUAAGUGUCUUGCCCAAGGACACAACGACAGCGACAGACUGAGCAGGUCUCGAACCUGCGACCUUCCGAUUGCGAGGCGAGCACUUAACUCCUGCGCCACCGUCGUCUUCGUCACUGCCGCGGCUCCGCCCUCUCGGUCCUCCAGGCAACGCCUACUAAUGUUGCAUUUUUUAAAAUUGAUACGUGGGUGGAGAAGGACUCCGGGGC